rnacentral:lncRNA from 1 species
CUCCUGGGAUAGCCCACAUCCCAAUGACUAUCCCAGCAGAAGUAUAAAAGCUUGGCCAUCUCUGCCUGACUGGGGACAGUGCUGAUGGGGUAUUUUAGCCCCAGGACUCCCCAUGAAGACAGUCAAAGCUGUCACAAGACCUGUGUCCUGCUCAGGGUCUCCCUCCUGCUUCCUUCCAGUUCCUUGCCCAGGGGUUACUCUUAAGGGAACUUCCAAAGAAACAUCCUGAACACCGACCCCCACAACCAACCUCACCCCAUCAGGGUCCAUGACAAACCCAUUGUUUAAAUGGGAGACACUCUGGGGUGGUCUGGAAAGAACAUGUCCUUUGCUGGACUCGUCCUUGAGUUCUAACAGGAGAGGUCCAUGGGUAAGCAGCAGUGACAGUACAGUGUGGUCAGGGACGUAGAGGCUGCCCUGGGAACACAGAGGAGGACUCUGGAGCUCCGAAGAGGCUCCAGCAUGAAGUGAUAUCUCCUGAUGGAUGGACCCAGAGCCAUGCACUGUCAUCUCCCGACACUGAGAAGAAGAGACAUCACCUGACCUUCUGAUUGAAGAAACAGGCUUGGGAGGCUGACUGCCACAGCUGGGAUUUGAGGCCAGGCCUGUAAAUUCAACAACCAUACUCCGACUCUCAUCCAUUCCUGUCUUAAGGCCCGGCAUUCCUUUCUUCACCCCACACUGGGCAAAGGUGCUGUGACCAGAUGUCCUCUGCUCCCAGGAUCAGCCCGGGGUCCCUGCAGAGGCAGCAGAAAGGGGCCCACUGAGUACUCAGGUGUCACCCCCUUAGCAGCCCCACAAGGGAUUCCCAGCUGCUCUCGAAAGAGAUCACGAUGAAUACUGGGGAUUCACGUCUGAGAAGAUGGUUUUGAGGCAUGAAUAGGAGUUGAAGGAUGGCCAACGUAGAGGGCGGAAUUGAGCCAGAGGGAAAGCGUGUGCACACAUGUUUAUCACAGUUUAUCUUGGGAUCAGCAGCGCUGAACGAGGGAAGCAGUGAGCAGAGGACAGAGUUAAGCUGUGAGGCCUCAGUGGAUCCUAUAUGAGCUCAGGGCCAGGCUGGUGCUCCAAGUUGUCCAGAAUUUGGGCAGGGGUUCAAGCCUUUCUAUACCACCUUGACCAGUCAUGGACAGAUGUGGUUGCCCUGGGGAAGGGACAUCACUUUGGGCAAAGCAGCUCAGCUGAGUCCUGGAGAGGGACCUGUCAGUGUUAUCACCUGCCAAGGCUCCCUGCAGCAGGGGCUUGAGUGCCGCAGCUGGAGAGGGACACUUUGGCUGGACAUGACAGCACCCACCACGCUCUCCAAGCUCAGAAUCUUUGUUUAUGGAAUGAAGAUGAUGAUGCCUCCCUGAUGGAGCCGUUGGGAGCAUUAAGACAGUGAUGGAGCGUGCAGGGCAGGCUUGCCUGGCUUCUCUAAGGCACUUUGCUUUUCAGCCCUGGGUCAGCAGUCUCGCUUUAAUUUCUUCUUGAGUGUUCAACAGCAUGUGGUUCAUCAAAAGCCCUGUGUGCUGGUGAACCUUCCAUUUGCCGGGUCGUGGCACAGUCUGAAAUGGCUGCUGGAGCUCCAGCCACUAUGACAGUAUUCCUGCCAGCCACAGGCUGAAGGAAUGGGAGAAAAGGGCAUACCUCUCUCUGAGGAAGAUGGACACACCACUUCUGCUUUUUUCCUAUUGACUAGCACAUAGUCACCUGGCCUCCCCCUUGCUAUACGGGAGGGAGGCUGGGGAAUGUAGUCCUUAUUGGAGUGGCAUGUGCCCAGCCAAAAAGCAGAGGUUCUUACUGAGGAAGAUGGGAGAAUGGAUUUGAGGGGGAAACUAGUACCGGCCAUACUCUGCCAGGGGCACCAGGCGUGGAAUGUUAUUCCCAUUUUACAGAUGAAGAAACCGAGGCACUUUGGUGAGGGGACUUGCCAAGACACAGAGUGAAUGACAGACCCAGGCAGGAACUGAGGCCUCCCGACUACUGACCGUCUCUUCAUACCUUGCUGUCCUGCAAACUUGGCUCCAUCACAUUUGUAUCCUUGAACCCUAUUUUCCAAUGGCCCAUAUUGUCAUCUCAGAUGUGGUUCAUCUUCAUGUCUGAUCCUAGCUUCUCAAGAGAGGAGAAUGACUUUUCCAAGAUGUUUCUUCAAAUUCAGAUAAAGUCCCACGUGGCCUUCAGAGGAUCACCCCAAGCUCAGUUUCUACGCUUUAGCAAAUGUACAUGGUCACAUGAGAUGUUAACAGAGGGGGAAACUUGGGGAAGGGGAUAUGAGAAUUCUGUUUAUUAUAUUGCUAACUUUUCUCUAAAUCUAGAAUUAUGCCA